rnacentral:misc_RNA from 1 species
GAUGAAGAACGUAGCGAAAUGCGAUAAGUAAUGUGAAUUGCAGAAUUCAGUGAAUCAUCGAAUCUUUGAACGCACAUUGCGCCCCUUAGUAUUCCGAGGGGCAUGCCUGUUCGAGCGUCAUAUUAACCACUCCCGCUUGCGGGGUCUUGGGCUUCGCCUCCGGGCGGGCCUUAAAAUCAGUGGCGGUGCCGUCGGGCUCUACGCGUAGUAAAUUUUCUCGCGAUAGGGUCCCGGUGGAUGCUUGCCAACAACCCCCAACUUCUUAAGGUUGACCUCGGAUCAGGUAGGGAUACCCGCUGAACUUAAGCAUAUCAAUAAGCGGAGGA